rnacentral:rRNA from 1 species
GCUGGCGGCAGGCCUAACACAUGCAAGUCGAGCGGUAACAUUUCUAGCUUGCCAGAAGAUGACGAGCGGCGGACGGGUGAGUAACGCGUAAAAAUCUACCUAGUAGUGGGGGAUAGCCCAGAGAAAUUUGGAUUAAUACCGCAUACGCCCUACGGGGGAAAGCCGGGGGAUCUUCGGACCUCGUGCUAUUAGAUGAGUCUGCGUCGGAUUAGCUUGUUGGUGAGGUAAUGGCUCACCAAGGCGACGAUCCGUAGCUGGUCUGAGAGGAUGACCAGCCACACUGGAACUGAGACACGGUCCAGACUCCUACGGGAGGCAGCAGUGGGGAAUAUUGCACAAUGGGCGCAAGCCUGAUGCAGCCAUGCCGCGUGUGUGAAGAAGGCCUUAGGGUUGUAAAGCACUUUCAGCAGUGAGGAAAGGGGUGUCGUUAAUAGCGCCAUCCUGUGACGUUAACUGCAGAAGAAGGACCGGCUAACUCCGUG